AGAGAGAGCAGGGGAACCAGCGUGGGGGAGGGCUGUGAGGGAGUGAGCUGGUCUUGGGAGAGACAGAGAGAACUGAAGCUAAGGAGCAGAGAUUUCUUGGUUGGUUUUUGGAAAGGAAGGAGAGCUUGAAGACAAGUAAAUCUGGCUCGAGAGGAGACACUUUAGUUGUUCGAGAGAUGGUUCACAUAUUUCUGAUGCAAUGUUGGGUGACAUGCUUGACGCUACUCUUGCUGAUUCAAGCAAGUAUGAUUCUGAGUUGCACCAUCUCAUUGUUCAAAUGAGACAACUGCCCCUGCCAUUCCUUCGAGAGAAACAGCAGCUUCCAGCAUGUCAGGUCCAGAAUGCCGAAGCAGAUCCACCCAGAAAGCUAGAAAGUUGAAAUGCCCUUCAUUUCAGCUCAUUAAAAGGCUUAAAUCCCUUGGAACCCUAAUUCCCUACUACUACGAGCUUCACCCACUGUGAACAUGAGCAAAUGAACCAGCCUACACUAACACCGGAGACUUGGGGUUCAAUAAGUUCAAAAACUGAAGAUCUUGAUGCAAGAAAAAAGAAAAAAAAAAACAGUUGGACAGUCCCAAAACUGAAAAAGAAGAGGAAUUCCUUUGCUGUGGGGCUCACUUCCUCCGCCGCUCAUUUCCUAACAGCUUCUUUUCCAGCCUUCCCACGUGCAUGCAUGAACACCUUUCUCCUCCUCUAGAUGCUCCUUUUUUGGUGACUUACAGCUUUGAAUCAGAUUUUGAAACCUGUUUUCAACUAAAUAAUCCCAGCUUUAAAAAUUCACCUUCAGAUUUUCCUUAGGUAAUAAAAUGUUGAUUUGAAUAAAUCAUUUGCUGCCAUAUUUCUCUCCCGACAUCUAUUUUCAUAUUUUAUUUAUUUAUUUUUAACCUUUUUAUUAAUUUCCACAUUUUAAAUAUCAACACAUUUCUAUAAUUUCAAAGAUAAUGGAAUUUAUGAAAUUAAUUCAUACAAAAGUAAAUCCGAUAGGGCCCAACAUAUGAGACAUUUGCCUUUGCUCAUUCUUAUUGCUAUAUUUGAUUGGCUAUUGACUCAUUUUUUACGUUGAUAUGUGAUAUGCAUGUGAUUAUUUUAUACUUGUCUAUUAAUCAUGUUUUCAUGAUAGCACAUUAUUAAUUUAUUGGUUACGUAUGCAUCCUAUAUAUCCUC